ACCCGCUGAACUUAAGCAUAUCAAUAAGCGGAGGAAAAGAAACCAACAGGGAUUGCCCUAGUAACGGCGAGUGAAGCGGCAACAGCUCAAAUUUGAAAUCUGGCUCUCGGGCCCGAGUUGUAAUUUGUAGAGGAUACUUUUGAUGCGGUGCCUUCCGAGUUCCCUGGAACGGGACGCCAUAGAGGGUGAGAGCCCCGUCUGGUUGGAUGCCAAAUCUCUGUAAAGUUCCUUCAACGAGUCGAGUAGUUUGGGAAUGCUGCUCUAAAUGGGAGGUAUAUGUCUUCUAAAGCUAAAUACCGGCCAGAGACCGAUAGCGCACAAGUAGAGUGAUCGAAAGAUGAAAAGCACUUUGAAAAGAGAGUUAAAAAGUACGUGAAAUUGUUGAAAGGGAAGCGUUUAUGACCAGACUUGGGCUUGGUUAAUCAUCUGGGGUUCUCCCCAGUGCACUUUUCCAGUCCAGGCCAGCAUCAGUUUUCCCCGGGGGAUAAAGGCGGCGGGAAUGUGGCUCUCUUCGGGGAGUGUUAUAGCCCACCGUGUAAUACCCUGGGGGGGACUGAGGUUCGCGCAUCUGCAAGGAUGCUGGCGUAAUGGUCAU
rnacentral:rRNA from 1 species